CAGCUCACGUCCAAGAAAAUUACCAUCUCUCCUACGUUCAAACCACACUAAAUGAAAGUUCCUUACACCUUUUCAUUGUUGCAGUCACAAUCAAAACAGUGAGUAUAUCUUCUUCGUUUUUAUUCUAUUCCUAUUACCACUUCCUCAGGCUUCCGCAAUUCAAAUACGUCACAUCAUUAUUUUUUUCAUACGCUUAACCAAUAUAAACAUAAACUAAAAGUGACAUGAACAUCGCUCAACCAUUUCACUUAGUUCUCUAUUUCAACCAUCCUCUUUCCAUUUAUUUUUCAUAUUACUCCUUUCCAGUUAUUGGUUUGACAACGUAUGUUCUUCUUAACAUCUACAGAAACAGUUUACCUCGUUAGCAACACUGAGGAAGUAU